UGAGGAUAGAGGGCCAUGGAUCUGGAUGUGGAGAUUGUGAAAGUCCAUGUGACGUUCGUGUCAAGAUGAGCGGCCGUUCCUGCUGACAUUGUGUCAACUAGAUGAAUUUUAGGUGCUCUUUUGUCAGA